rnacentral:rRNA from 1 species
UACGUAGGGUGCAAGCGUUGUCCGGAAUUAUUGGGCGUAAAGAGCUCGUAGGCGGUCUGUCGCGUCGGCUGUGAAAACUCGGGGCUCAACUCCGAGCUUGCAGUCGAUACGGGCAGGCUAGAGUGCGGCAGGGGAGACUGGAAUUCCUGGUGUAGCGGUGAAAUGCGCAGAUAUCAGGAAGAACACCAAUGGCGAAGGCAGCUCUCUGGGACGGUACUGACGCUGAGACGCGAAAGCGUGGGGAGCGAACAGG